rnacentral:lncRNA from 7 species
ACCAGAAGAAACAACCCGGACAAUAACUGUGGCAUCAGGGAUCCUCUCAGCAAUCAGACAUGGCACUAUCCAGGAUUGUAAAGAAUAAAGAUGAAACAGAUUAAAGGUCUAUGGGGAAGGUUACUGCAUGUGAGUGGCAUCAACCGGAACAGCCCCUCCAGGCUUGUGGGAUAUUGCUGACCUGCACUCUACACUCGUGCUAUUUGGGGUGAUCUGCCUGCUGGGAGAUAUGUGGACUAGUGAACUGGAUAAAUCAGCAUGUAAUUCUGUAGAUGAAAAAGGUUUCAGAUCUGCCUCCAAAAUUCCAGCUGCUCCUUCAGUUAAUCUCACUUCCCUUGCUGAUCCUGCCAGGAUACCUCAGGACAGUCCAAGGAUGUGCACAGGCAACUAUCUGAAUAAAGGUUUGUUCAUCAAAGUAAUGUCUUUUCCCUUAUUUCAUUUUAAUUUUAUGAUUUAUUGGGCCCAGUCCUUGGAAUCAGUACAGCAAAUUAUAAAUAAAGAAAUAAAAACCUUGACUUCAUUUAAUAGGUGUUACAUAAAAUAUCCCUAAUGUGAUUUUUGUUGAUUUAUUUUUUUAGGAAAGAAGGAAUGUCUUUAUUUUGACUAUACUGGCUGAAGCUCUGUAGUAAAGGAGCAAUAAGGUUGGAAAUUGCAUAAUUCAUCAAUUUGGAAAUGCUUGUGUAGCCCAGUUCUGUUCUAUUUGUCUGCAUCACGAUACUAGCUUAUUGCAUUUCAAUGCCAUGUUAAAAAAGCUCAGAAUAAAUGCUUGUUUACAAGUGAAGAAAAUUAGAACCUAUGCUGAGCCCGUAUAAAUUGAAAUAGUAAAAUGAAGAUUCUCCUUUCCUGAACUGCAACCAUUUUUUUCUACUGUCAGUAAUAAUAAUAAGUAGCUUCUUGAGGUCUUGAAAGGAUUAUGACCAUGUUGUGCCACAGUUCAAAAGUACCUGGUGAAUUCCUGUAAAUUUUCUCUGAAAAUUGCUUGACUUUAGGCAAACACAUCACAGUCAGUAUUUUAGAGUGCCCUUAAUUUUGUGGUUAUAGCUAACAGGUAGCUAUUCACAUGCUGUGUUCACUUGCUCCUUUGCACAACUCACACCUAGACACAGCUGGAAGAGCAGCAGGAUACCAACUGUGCAUUACACUUGCUCAGAAAUGGAUGGUUGUCCUGACUCAGCUAGGGCUCCUAUGUAGGUCUUCAGAAACUCCUUAAGGAUCCCUUGUAUCAGCAGGUUAAUGUAUAACCCUGUUGUUUUUGUCUGUAUACAGAAGUCCACUUCUUCUCUGGGUAUGGUCGGAGUGGUGCUAACACUGAUUAAUUGAUUCUAGUAUGUGCUAAAGGCCUUAGAUUCACCAAGCUCUUAGGAUACUGAGCUUAACUGUUCUUGGGAGACUCUUGCCUCAUGGCACAUACUUGUCCUCUUUGCACAUUGAUUUCUGGUUUUUGUUCCACUAUCCAUGCUCAUAGGUCCCCAAGGAGCCCAUUAAGCCAGACUUUUGCAGAGAGGUUUCUGUGGCAGGAACAACGCUGCUGAGAUGCCUGUAACUGAGGGAGGCAAAACACACAUGAGAGAAAAGAAGAACUAACCCUGUUGUGUAGCUGGGAAAUGGGCCACAGGCUGUUACUGACUCAUUUUACCCCUGGCAUGAAGCCUGUAGCAAGCUUGUGUGCUAAAAGCACAGCCCAGGAUGUCUGCAGUGUUUCACACUUGAGAAGCAGCACCCCUGUGUUUUUCUGCUCCCAUUCUUCUUGAUGUGUUACAGUGUAGGAGGGCAGCUCCGAAAAUAAUGCCUCCUAUUUUAUUAUGUUGACCCACAACAUCAAAGGUGGAUGUUGGUGGUAUGAAAGUAGAGGUUGAACCUUCUUGACAAUAUUCCAUUAAAUUUUGUUGCUGUGUGACAGAUGGCAGCAGAAGGGCAAUAUGACAAAAUGAUGUCUGACACGGAAGUGUCUCUGAAGCAAAUGUGUGGAAUUCAACUCCUCUGUGCAGAAGAAUUUGCGCCCUUUGAAAUUCCUUGACAUUUGCUGAACAUUUAUGGAGACCAAACAGUGGAUGUGAGCACAGUGAGGUGGUGGGCACUGUGUCUCAGCAGUGACAACAGCUACUGUAGGUCACCUCUUGGGUGAUUAAGAGAAAUUAUUAUUGAGGUUGUAAUUAACUAUAAUUUGUUUUGCAGGUGUCUGUCUUACAAACCCCUGUCUUCCUACUGUUCCUCAAGGGAAUAGCCCAAAGGGAAGCAGAAUUUGACAAACCUCUGUUUUUAUUCUGCUCUGGUUGCUGUUAACAUUUCUGUAGUUAAUGAUGACAAAAAACAUGCUUCAGAAUAAAAAUUUUGACUGCAU